rfam:Homo sapiens chromosome 1, GRCh38 reference primary assembly.
GCGUCAGUGGUUUAGUGGUGGAAUUCCUGCCUCCCAUGCACGAGAUCCGUGUUCAACUCCUGGUUGGUGCA